UCCAAGCUGAACAAAAUCAACUGUUUGGGGGAGUUUUUUAUUCCAUUUGACAAACUGAAGGAAAAUUAUUCAAUUACCAUGGUCAUGAAACAGUUUUGUUUUGACAUAUCUCUGCUCAAACUGUGGUAAAAGUUAGUAUUUCCCACUCUUGGGUCUUGACAUGAAAGAGCAAGUGUUUUGCAUCAGCCACCACUGCUGAUUUCAGUUGCAGGAUGCACCCUUAGCAAUGGGUCUCCUGCCAAUGUUUUGAGUGUUGCUACUGGGCUCAGGGGAGUGAUGGUUGAUAAAGCUGAGUCUUCUGAUAUGGCCCUUCACUCAGUCUGUGAUAUGCAGCCCAGGUCCCUCCAUGCCAGAUCCAGCCCAUGAAAUUAGAGGGUGGCUAUCAAAACGAUGCUCUGAGUGUCUCACGCCUCUCUGCUGAGGUGUUGGGUAACCUGGUGAGCUCUUCCAGGAAGAGCCUGCAUGGUCCUAAUGCCAGCAUGGAGUGGCUUCUGUGACAUAUGCUCCACGUGAAUUCCCUGCACCCUCCACAGGUGCAUCAUUUGGCUGAAAACAGACAACUCUCAUGGCUAAUUAUGUGUUGCUCUGCUACCUGCUAAUUAAGGAAAGCUGCAAAGCUAAGAUCUCUGGGAUAGUGACCAUCUGACUCAGAUUUACUGACAUUCCUGUUCAGAAAUACAGCAACAUGUCUGGGAUAAAGAAAGGAUCUCCUGGAGACCUAAAUGAGGCCUCUAAAGCUAAACCUGUGGCCAGGCGUGGGAUGCCAGGAGGGAAUGUUCACCCAGCUGGUCUGAGGCUGAUGACGUGCACAGGGCAACAACACAGGAUGCAGUCAAAUGGUGACCUACAAACGUCACUGUGAGUAAGGCUUUUUAAUUCCUGUUUUAAAAGAUCCCAAACUACAACUUGGUUUCAAACAGUACCUUCCCAGGGGUGCUCAUUCCAAAGGACCACUUGAAGUACCCAUUUUACUUCACAUUUAUUCAUGGUUUUCAGAUGGAACAAUUUCCUUUGUUAUCCCACCUGGACAGGAAUGUUUUUGCUAUAUAUGGUCAGAAAAUGGAAGUGAAAAUAAAAAAGCUGUGGUACAAAACCUCUUCUUGUUGCCAGUGGCACUUGAAAUGUGCUGCAUCAUCAGGUUUGAUGUUCUGAAAGAAUGUUUUUUUACUUUUUGGCCCAGGUGGAUGAUUCUUAGGGCUUUUCCUAAUGUCUUUAAUAGCAGUGAUGAUAUGCAGCUUAUAGAAUUCUGCAGCAAUUGUUUCUCAUUAGUCACUGACACAAAGCUUUGCACAGCAGAAUCUAUCUACAGGUGCCACAGGGAGAAGACAAGAAAGAAAAAUGUGUCAUACUCUGAGGUAAACAGCUUUACUCCCUAUUAGUCUGCCAGAGGCUGAAUUAGUAAUUGAUGAAGCACUUUGCCACGAUGAGAUUUGUUUAGUCCACUUAGGAUUUGUUUUUCUCUGUUAACACAGAGCUAAACAAGCGAGGCUGUGUCUACAUGCUCUCUUGCAGAUAGGAGCUUGCUCCAUGCCUGGUGCCUGUCAGCUGUGAGCCACAUCCCCGGCAGCACGGCUGCCUUGUUUGCACAGCACCGAGGGGAGGGCUAAUAUUCCCACAGUUACUCAUCCCAGCACCACACCCCCUUCCUCCACCAGAUGUUGGAGCUGCCUCUGCCUUGCUUGGCAGGGCAGGCACGCUGUCUGCCGCACAGGAAUGCAGCUGUCACACACAGCGCUGCUGGCAGGCCAGGGGGGAGGGCUGGUGACAGCCUUGGGCAGGGUGGGGGUCAUGGCACCUUCAGCCAGCUCUGUGGCAGUGUGAAAAAAGUGGUUCCUCUGCCUAGGGAACACAUCUGUGGGAAGGCUGUGGCUUUUUCCAUCUUUAACACACCCUAUUGCUUAUUAAGAUUUGAGAAAGGUAGAAGUCCAUAUUGUUAAGAUCACCACCAAAAUUUUGUAAAGAAGCUGACACUGCUACAGGAAAAAAAAAACAAAAACAAAAAAAAGAAACAAGAAUAUAGAAAAGAAACACAAAUCCCUAUCUCAAAAAGUAAAUCCAAACCAAAUUAAAUUUUCAAAGCCUCCUUCUGGACAUAAAUCCCCUAUUUUUCUUUUGAAGGUCAGCAUUAGAUGAUGCAAGAACAAGGCUGAACUUCCAGCCCAUUAGGCUCUGCGGAGCCAGGCGGCAGACGGAUGAUGUGGUGUGUCUGCAUACCUCCCCCAGGCACUGGAGAAGAGUGUAUAUGGCUGUCCUGGCAUCCCAGCUCCUUUUCCAGGCCUAUCCAUUGUCCCAGGGUAUUUGCUGGAAGCUCUUGAGAAUGCAGACACACCUGCAUCAAAGUCCCUGUGCUCCUGUUUGUGAGACUACAGCCCCAGAAAGGUCAGAGUGGUGCUUCCAUUACCCACAGCUGUGACUUGAUAACCUUAUGGUUCUGAGGUCAAAAAUUAAGCAGGAAAAGAGGGGCUGGAAAAACAAAAUAAAUUAACAAUAAUUCUGUUUUCUUUAUACAUUUUAAAGAAGCAGGAUGGGGAAAACUGUUUUGCUUUGUAGGUCACCUUCACAGCAAACAGGAAUCAUUCAGUUGCUGCUGGAUAAUACCAAGGGCACUCUUGGAGGCUGGCAAUUGGAAUUAUUAAAAAAAUAUGAGCAAGAUUUUAAGUGUCUCCUUGAGAAACAAACAGAGCAAAAUUGUUCAUCAGUGGUGGAACAGACACUGUAAACAAUGUAUUUAAUGAAUCUGGAAGGAUCUUUAAGGGAGCAGAUGACCAGCUCUGUCUUUCCAGCACAGUCCCAGUCCCUUACAGAAGGAGUUUGUGACCUUGCCUUCCUAUCCCACACAUCAAGCUUUUUGCAGCUGUGUUUCUUUUUGCAUUUUAGAAAACAGGAAAUAUUUCACAGAAUCACAGAAUCAAUGAAAUUGGUUGGUGAUUUAGCACAGGUUGCCAAGGAUUGUGUCCAGUUGGUUUUUGAGUAUCUCCAUGGAGUGAGAUUCCACCACCUUUCUGCACAACUGACUUGCUUUUGGGCAUUCUCACAGUAAAAAAGAAAAAAAGGUUUUUUGUGUUCAGGUGGAAUCUGGUGUUUCAGUUUGUGUCUCUUACCCUGUCAGUGGACACUACUGAGAACAGUCUGCCUCCCUCUUGUUCUCUGUGCUGGGGAUGGACCUUGGCAGCACCUGCAGGUGAUCUUGGAAAGCCAGGCAGCUUUUCUGGAUGCUGUGAUCUCCAGGACCAUGUCACAAGCAGAUCCCCGAAGAGGCCAAAUUCUGCUCUUCAAAAUCAGAGUUUUCUUGCCUUUUGUGCCACUGUCCCUUCUCAUGAUCCUGAACUCCACUGUCUCACAGGCACUGGACCAAAUGCUGACCCACCUUCAUGUUUGCAAGCAGUUCUUCCUUAAGAUUCUGAGGUCCAGCAGAGCACCCUUGCUUAUUAGUUCCUCGAUCAGCCACGCCAGGGAGUUGUCAGUGUGCUCCUGAACUUGCCUAGAUUGCUUGGGCCCCUGCUGCUGUGUUGUCAUUUCUAGCUCAAACCUGUUCCUAGCAGCUUCAAAGGAAACCUUGGUGUAAAAUAAAUCCACCUCCUCCACGCUGGUUGCUGGUCCCUGUGCUCCCUGCUGCAGGCCCGGUGCAGCAUUUCCAGGUGUGCUGGCUGUGAGGUGGCUUGGAGCCCACACCUGGUGUCCUGUGCACCUCUCCAGCUGCUCUGGGGCACCAGCACUUGCCUUCCUGGACGGAUGUUCACCCGAAACCAUCUCACCAGCGACACACCACAUAAGUGUUCUUGGAGAAGUGUGUUAGUGUUUUCUGCUUUUCAGCUAACAACACUUGUGACUUCCUUUCUGCUCAAGGCUCACCAUAGCGUGAAUAAGCUUUCUUAACUGGUUGUUUUAAGGGUUUUUUUCCUUGAAAAAUUGAAGGGUUCUCCUCAAAUCUAUUGUGCUUAGGGCUGAAAACACAGGAUACAAAAUUAUUCUUUCCAAGGGCUCUAAAUAGAUGUGGCAGACAAAAGGAAGAAAUGAAGGCAGAAAAACCACCUAUGUAUGAAAAAAUGUUACCAGUUCUAAAUAAAGGUAGAAGUAUAUUUGUCCAACCUUUGCUAGAGACACUGUCAUUCCUAGAGUUUGGCUUGAAAUCUUUCCCAAGUGACUAAAUUAAAGCCAUUCAUGUAGUGAAAUACAGUUGAUGACUCUGAAAGUUUUAGUGCUACCGUAUUAUAGAUCCCACCAGGAGAUAGGCCCCUGAGGGAGUCUGUCAUUUCCCUCAUCUGCACUCACUGAAGGAUUCAGUACAGAAGUGGAUUAAGCUCUUGGGGGGCUUUAAGCAAACUCUCCUUUCAGAUUCCUGCAGCGUAUUUCAUUCUGAGCCCCGAGUGGCACCCAGCAAGGCUGCUCUGCUGCCUAAACACAAAUACUGCUCAAAAUUCCUUGGGCCAGAGCUCCCGUGUGGCAGAACGUGUGGCCAGGCGUUUCACAACUGCUGUCAUCUAUGGAUUUCUGCUCGCACAAACAGAAAGGGAAAGCCCAGCUAGCUCGGUUUGGCUCUGACAAGGAGCAGCAGUGCACAUACACUGCUCAAAUACCCUUCCUAAGGGGGAGAGCUGAAUUACAGGACCACCUGCACGUGUCUGGGCUGUUGUGUGGCACAGAGCUGUUUCCUUGGGACCCACCAGCCAAGGAUGUCACAAUGCUUGUGGGGGCUAGUCCAUCACCUCGAUGGCUUCCUGCCUGGAGAAGCUGCCCUUCCCUCCUAUUUUACCCCCUGCCUACAGCCAAGCUCACGGGAGUAACGCAUCUCCCCAAGAAACUGCUGGCAGAAUUCAGAUGCUUUGAGAACUUUUUUCGUGUUCAUCACGAUUUAGACUCACAUUUUAAGCAUAGGAAGGCUUAAAGCAGGCUGCGGCAGAAUCCCUGUCUUUCCCUACAUGCCACGAGCAUUCGGUCCCGGGGCAGAAUGAUGUGUAGCCCUGCCAAACCCUGAGGUGCCCCAGACCUGACAACAGCCUUUUCUGCUUGGUGGAAACCAACACCAAAUCUCUUCCGGAAAACAAAAAACUAUCUCACAAAUCUUUAUGUCUUUAUUCCUAGUGAAGGAGGGCGGAACUGCCGGGAAACCUGUGACAACGCUCCUCUCAGUGUUACAGCCGGGGCUUAAAAUGGCGCGGAAGGGCAGCGAACCGCUCCCUUACUCCGCUGCGCCGCACCAGCCGCUCUCGGGGCGCCGCGGGGCUGGUGCCCGGAGGGAAGUCAGUCGGUGGGCAAGGGGCUGAGGGGAGGCCGGGCGCGCUGACGGAGCACACCCGGCUCGGCAGCCCCGACUCAGCAGCGGCAGCGCCCCGAGAAGAAGAAAAUGGCGGCAGCAGCGUUGACCAAUCAGCGCGCGGCGCCGGCUCGCGCCCGCCCGUUACCCAGUCCCGGCGCUCCGCGUGCCCCGGACG